AGUGAACGCUGGCGGUAGGCCUAACACAUGCAAGUCGAACGGCAGCACAGUAAGAGCUUGCUCUUACGGGUGGCGAGUGGCGGACGGGUGAGGAAUACAUCGGAAUCUACUUUUUCGUGGGGGAUAACGUAGGGAAACUUACGCUAAUACCGCAUACGACCUACGGGUGAAAGCAGUGGAUCUUCGGACCUUUCGCGAUUGAAUGAGCCGAUGUCGGAUUAGCUAGUUGGCGGGGUAAAGGCCCACCAAGGCGACGAUCCGUAGCUGGUCUGAGAGGAUGAUCAGCCACACUGGAACUGAGACACGGUCCAGACUCCUACGGGAGGCAGCAGUGGGGAAUAUUGGGCAAAGGGCGCAAGCCUGAUCCAGCCAUACCGCGUGGGUGAAGAAGGCCUUCGGGUUGUAAAGCCCUUUUGUUGGGAAAGAAAAGCAGCAGGUUAAUACCCCGCUGUUCUGACGGUACCCAAAGAAUAAGCACCGGCUAACUUCGUG
rnacentral:rRNA from 1 species